rnacentral:rRNA from 1 species
AUUGAACGCUGGCGGCAGGCCUAACACAUGCAAGUCGAACGAGUGGCGGACGGGUGAGUAAUGUCUGGGAAACUGCUCGAUGGAGGGGGAUAACUACUGGAAACGGUAGCUAAUACCGCAUACCAUCGGAUGUGCCCAGAUGGGAUUAGCUAGUAGGUGGGGUAACGGCUCACCUAGGCGACGAUCCGUAGCGGGUCUGAGAGGAUGAACAGCAACACUGGAGAUGAUAGAGGGUCCAGACUCCUACGGGAGACAGCAGUGGGGAAUAUUGCACAAUGGGCGCAGGCCGGAUGCAGCCGUGCCGCGGGUGUGAAGAAGGCCUUCGGGUUGUAAAGCACUUUCAGCGGGGAGGCGUUACCCGCAGAAGAAGCACCGGCUAACUCCGUGCCAGCAGCCGCGGUAAUAC